CGGAGUCCAGAACCCACUUCAACAUCCUUGCCGGGUCGCCGCCAACGCCCCCUGCCCACCCCCUGCCUCGUGGUCGUCUGCUCCUCCACCAUGCCAUGUCCUCAAUCACUCUAGAGCUCUCUAUCAAGACAUUGUCACCACCUCGCUGAAGUGGAUGGUGGCCUGCUCCAAAUCGCAGGGGCACAAAGCUGGAGGUCGGCAGCCGGUCGCCGAUUGGCCGUCAGAACUGGCAAGCGGGGUAGCCGUCUACUCCACCUAGCCGUCAAAUUGAUGGACACAAGUCCCUGCGUUCGGAAGUUAACUUCACUAAGAUGCAAGCUCGAGGAAUCACAUGCAUUUUCAUACUGGAGGAAGCUCACCGUGUGCCUUUAAUGCAUUUCCAUGAACUUCUAAUUUCUGUUUCUAGAAAACCAACAAGUGGAGCAAACUGUGUAUUCUAUCAGCCACAUAGAGAAGUACAUUUAGUCUUUCUAGGUACUGCACCAAAAUUGCUCCCUUUUGCAACUUCAUCUCUAUUUUGAGUGCUAAUACAAAUGGUGUAGCCCAAUCUUGAGUUUCUGCAUCUCUGCUUUAGGUUCCCCUUUCAGUGAUUAACCUUGAGCUUGUCAUCGUAUGGAGGUAGAAAUUAAGUUACUUCUCGAAGUGCUGGUUACUUUUCUAAUUCAAUAAUAUCGAUCGUGCAUUUGGAAGCA